GACAGGCCUCCUAGGUGGGACUCUCCUUGCAGACGGGAAGCCCAUCUGCUUGACUUGACUUUGGAAUCCCAGCAGCCUCACCCGUAAGAUGGGACUGAAUGAGCGAUGUUUACUCCAUCCACCAAAGGCCACUCUCCCUUGGGUUUUCAACAGCUGGAGAAAUAUCAAAAGAAUCUGAAUAUCACCAUCUGGAAGUUGUGCCAUGGACUCCAGUGGGCAGAAAUCGAGCUGGGAUUCUCUUCUUCUUCUAGCAAUGUAUUUCUUCUGCUUAAAAUGAGCACAAACACAUCGAAUUCCCUAAUGGACUAACUCAAACCUAAAAUGUCUUAUUCUUUGUCCCCCCUCCUCUACCAGCACAGAUUUCUGGGAUUCUCUAAAUGCAGAUGGCCAGUGGGUGGGGGGUGGGGGAUUCCCAAAGAUAUUUGCUCAUCGGUGACUUCACUUAACCAAUAAAUCAAAUGUGUUGAAAAACACACAU